rnacentral:rRNA from 1 species
AUUGAACGCUGGCGGCAGGCCUAAUACAUGCAAGUCGAGCGGAGCGGCGGACGGGUGAGUAAUGCCUAGGAAUUGGCCUGGUAGUGGGGGAUAACGUACGGAAAAGGGCGCUAAUACCGCAUACUAUCAGAUGAGCCUAGGUCGGCUUAGCUAGUUGGUGGGGUAGUGGCUCACCUAGGUGACGAUCCCUAGCUGGUCUGAGAGGAUGAACAGCCACACUUGAACUGAGACACGGUCCAGACUCCUACGGGAGGCAUCAGUGGGGAAUAUUGCACAAUGGGCGCAAGCCUGAUCCAGCCAUGCCGCGUGUAUGAAGAAGGCCUUCGGAUUGUAAAGUACUGUCAGCGAGGAGGCGUUACUCGCAGAAGAAGCACCGGCUAACUCCGUGCCAGCAGCCGCGGUAAUUC